rnacentral:rRNA from 1 species
ACUGUAGGCCCUAAAUACUCUAAAAGCACCAGAUUCCAUCUGAUCUUGGUAGUUAAGUAGGGCCCGAUCUAGUUAGUAAAUGGAUGGGAGUUUGCCAAUGAAUCCCAGGUGCUGUAGGUG